rnacentral:rRNA from 1 species
AGUCAAGUAAUUAAGUGCAUGUGGUGGAUGCCUUGGCAGUCAGAGGCGAUGAAAGACGUGAUAGCCUGCGAAAAGCUCCGGGGAGGCGGCAAAUAUCCUUUGAUCCGGAGAUGUCUGAAUGGGGGAACCCACCUACUUUAAGGUAGGUAUUGCAACAUGAAUACAUAGUGUUGCAAGGCGAACGAGGGGAAGUGAAACAUCUCAGUACCCUUAGGAAAAGAAAUCAAUUGAGAUUCCCUCAGUAGCGGCGAGCGAACGGGGAUCAGCCCAUUAAGUUAUGUGUGUUUUAGUGGAACGCUCUGGGAAGUGCGAACGUAGAGGGUGAUAUUCCCGUACACGAAAGGGCACACAUAAUGAUGACGAGUAGGGCGAGGCACGUGAAACCUUGUCUGAAUAUGGGGGGACCAUCCUCCAAGGCUAAAUACUCCUGACUGACCGAUAGUGAACCAGUACCGUGAGGGAAAGGCGAAAAGAACCCCUGUGAGGGGAGUGAAAUAGAUCCUGAAACCGCAUGCAUACAAGCAGUGGGAGCACCUUCGUGGUGUGACUGCGUACCUUUUGUAUAAUGGGUCAGCGACUUAUAUUCAGUAGCAAGGUUAACCGUAUAGGGGAGCCGUAGAGAAAUCGAGUCUUAAUAGGGCGUUUAGUUGCUGGGUAUAGACCCGAAACCAGGCGAUCUAUCCAUGAGCAGGUUGAAGGUUGGGUAACACUAACUGGAGGACCGAACCCACUGUCGUUGAAAAGCCAGGGGAUGACUUGUGGAUAGGGGUGAAAGGCUAAUCAAGCCUGGUGAUAGCUGGUUCUCCCCGAAAGCUAUUUAGGUAGCGCCUCGGACGAAUACCAUAGGGGGUAGAGCACUGUUUCGGCUAGGGGGUCAUCCCGACUUACCAAACCGAUGCAAACUCCGAAUACCUAUGAGUACUAUCCGGGAGACAGACUGCGGGUGCUAACGUCCGUAGUCAAGAGGAAAACAAUCCAGACCGCCAGCUAAGGCCCCAAAAUCAUAGUUAAGUGGGAAACGAUGUGGGAAGGCAUAGACAGCUAGGAGGUUGGCUUAGAAGCAGCCACCCUUUAAAGAAAGCGUAAUAGCUCACUAGUCGAGUCGGCCUGCGCGGAAGAUGUAACGGGGCUAAAACUAUGUGCCGAAGCUGCGGAUUNNNNNNNNNNNNNNNNNNNNNNNNNNNNNNNNNNNNNNNNNNNNNNNNNNNNNNNNNNNNNNNNNNNNNNNNNNNNNNNNNNNNNNNNNNNNNNNAAGUAUGCUGGAGGUAUCAGAAGUGCGAAUGCUGACGUGAGUAACGACAAAACGGGUGAAAAACCCGUUCGCCGAAAGACCAAGGGUUCCAGUCCAACGUUAAUCGGGGCUGGGUGAGUCGACCCCUAAGGCGAGGCCGAAAGGCGUAGUCGAUGGGAAAAUGGUUAAUAUUCCAUUACUUCUGUGUAAUGCGAUGAGAGGACGGAGAAGGCUAAAUCAGCCUGGCGUUGGUUGUCCAGGUGAAAGGAUGUAGGCAUGUAUCUUAGGCAAAUCCGGGGUACUCUAUGCUGAGAUCUGAUAGCAAGCUGUACUUGUACAGCGAAGUGGUUGAUGCCAUGCUUCCAGGAAAAGUCUCUAAGCUUCAGUUACACAGGAAUCGUACCCGAAACCGACACAGGUGGUCAGGUCGAGUAGACCAAGGCGCUUGAGAGAACUCUGCUGAAGGAACUAGGCAAAAUGGUACCGUAACUUCGGGAGAAGGUACGCUGUUGUUGGUGAUGGAACUCGCUUCCUGAGCUGACGACAGCCGCAGAAACCAGGCCGCUGCAACUGUUUAUUAAAAACAUAGCACUCUGCAAACACGAAAGUGGACGUAUAGGGUGUGAUGCCUGCCCGGUGCUGGAAGGUUAAUUGAUGGGGUUAGCGUAAGCGAAGCUCUUGAUCGAAGCCCCAGUAAACGGCGGCCGUAACUAUAACGGUCCUAAGGUAGCGAAAUUCCUUGUCGGGUAAGUUCCGACCUGCACGAAUGGCAUAAUGAUGGCGGCGCUGUCUCCAGCAGAGGCUCAGUGAAAUCGAAAUCGCUGUGAAGAUGCAGUGUACCCGCGGCUAGACGGAAAGACCCCGUGAACCUUUACUGCAGCUUGACACUGAACUUUGACCUUACUUGUGUAGGAUAGGUGGGAGGCUUUGAAGCUGGAACGCUAGUUCCAGUGGAGCCGUCCUUGAAAUACCACCCUGGUAAUGUUGAGGUUCUAACUCUGUCCCGUGAUCCGGGACGAGGACCGUGUCUGGUGGGUAGUUUGACUGGGGCGGUCUCCUCCUAAAGAGUAACGGAGGAGUACGAAGGUGCGCUCAGCGUGGUCGGAAAUCACGCGUAGAGUAUAAAGGCAAAAGCGCGCUUAACUGCGAGACCCACAAGUCGAGCAGGUACGAAAGUAGGUCUUAGUGAUCCGGUGGUUCUGUAUGGAAGGGCCAUCGCUCAACGGAUAAAAGGUACUCUGGGGAUAACAGGCUGAUACCGCCCAAGAGUUCAUAUCGACGGCGGUGUUUGGCACCUCGAUGUCGGCUCAUCUCAUCCUGGGGCUGAAGCAGGUCCCAAGGGUAUGGCUGUUCGCCAUUUAAAGAGGUACGCGAGCUGGGUUUAGAACGUCGUGAGACAGUUCGGUCCCUAUCUACCGUGGGCGCUGGAAAUUUGAGAGGAUCUGCUCCUAGUACGAGAGGACCAGAGUGGACGAACCUCUGGUGUACCGGUUGUGACGCCAGUCGCAUCGCCGGGUAGCUAUGUUCGGAAGGGAUAACCGCUGAAAGCAUCUAAGCGGGAAGCCUACCUCAAGAUAAGAUUUCCCUAGGACUUUAUGUCCUCUAAAGAGCCGUUCGAGACUAGGACGUUGAUAGGUUGGAUGUGGAAGCAUAGUGAUAUGUGAAGCUGACCAAUACUAAUUGCUCGUGAGGCUUGACUAU